rnacentral:rRNA from 1 species
UACGUAAGGUCCGAGCGUUGUCCGGAAUCAUUGGGCGUAAAGGGUACGUAGGUGGUUAGAAAAGUUAGAAGUGAAAGGCUAUAGCUCAACUAUAGUAAGCUUUUAAAACUGCUCAUCUUGAGGUAUGGAAGGGAAAGUGGAAUUCCUAGUGUAGCGGUGAAAUGCGCAGAUAUUAGGAGGAAUACCGGUGGCGAAGGCGACUUGCUGGAAUCUAACUGACGCUGAGGUACGAAAGCGUGGGGAGCAAACAGG